rnacentral:rRNA from 1 species
GGCUUACUACCCUCAAUCAAUUACCUUGUGAUGAUUGAUUGGAGCUGGCUUUCCGGUGUUCCGAUCAGGUUACCGGUCAGCUGAAAAACAUUCGCGCUGUGGAAGUCGCUUUCCCUUCAAAAAGGAAAGCCGAGUUCCGAUUUGGUAGGUGACCUUUGCCGGUUGCAUGCCUUCGUUGCUCGUUCUGGCUUUCAUGAUAGCGUGUGCAGGACGCCUUUUGGCUU